CGAGCUAGCCGUGAAGACAGGUGAGUUGGUUUGUCUAUAAUGUCUGACUUUAGCGUCGAGCUAGCCGUGAAGACAGGUGAGUUGGUUUGUCCAUAUUGUCUGACUUUAGCAUCGAGCUAGCCGUGAAGACAGGUGAGUUGGUUUGUCUAUAAUGUCUGACUUUAGCAUCGAGCUAGCCGUGAAGACAGGUGAGUUGGUUUGUCUAUAAUGUCUGACUUUAGCAUCGAGCUAGUCGUGAAGACAGGUGAGUUGGUUUGUCUAUAAUGUCUGACUUUAGCAUCGAGCUAGCCGUGAAGACAGGUGAGUUGGUUUGUCUAUAAUGUCUGACUUUAGCGUCGAGCUAGCCGUGAAGACAGGUGAGUUGGUUUGUCUAUAAUGUCUGACUUUAGCGUCGAGCUAGCCGUGAAGACAGGUGAGUUGGUUUGUCCAUAUCGUCUGACUUUAGCGUCGAGCUAGCCGUGAAGACAGGUGAGUUGGUUUGUCUAUGUUGUCUGACUUUGUUUCUACUUUGUUUAUGUGUUUGUGUGUAUUUGCAUCUUCUCAUGGGGAGUUUGGUAUUUUUCUGUGUCUUUAGAUCCCAUCACUUCCUUACCGACGAACAGGUGGGCUCAGUCAGGUAAAUUCACAGAAUGUGAAUACAGUAGUUCUACUGCAGGGUUGGGCAACUGUGUGGAAUGCCUUUUGAAGGCCCUCGGAUUAAUAACACAAAUAUUAUAAUAAUAAAAAGAUAAUAUACAUAUUUUUUUUAACUCAGUCGGGGUCUCAACUUACUGUUGCUAGGUAGAAUAGUAGAAUACACAAGGUGCAAUUUGAAGAUGUGGUUGUCCAUCAGCAGUUUUUCUCUUGUUGUCAGUCACUGAUAGUCUCUUAAUUAGUCAUGUCAGAUUGCUAACUAAGUCUAACGGCCACCUAUCUAAAUUUAGGAAUCAUGGUGGAAUUACCAGCCAGGGGGCCCCAUUGACUUUGUUAUUCAGUCUCACUCAGAUAUUAUAUUAAAAACUACAAACAUUUCUCUCCACUCUAUGGCAAAAUGUGUAGAAUUACACCAAAUGAACUCUAAAAUAUAAAGAAAUGUCUCUCUAAUGUCAAGAGGGGGGCUGCUAAACUGUUUUGCUGACAAUGUGGUAGUGGUGGGGGUUAUGCACAUGUAGGUAUCAAACCCGCGAGCCACUCACAUUGAGUUCAGAUUCUUUGUGACCCCCCCACCCCAUCAAAGUUGCCCAUCCCUGCUCUAAUGAAUGAAAUCCAAAGAAAUUCUACAAUUUACUUUUCAAUUUUUUUUCAAACCUUGAAAUAAGAGACAAAAUAUCACAUUUUCCCCUCGAAUUUCCAUGUUCAAUUGAUAUCCUACUUGAUUGGAAUUGUAGCAGAAGAGAGUGACUUUGUCCUUUAAAAUAAUAAUAAUAAUAAUAUUCUACUGUGUAUGACAGUUGAUGUCUGUAAUUUUCCCUCCUAGGUCUUCCUGAGGGACAUCUUGUUGUCCUCGUCUGCUCUGUGUUGGUCAGCACCUGGGGAUGAAUAGCACAAAUACUGUGAAAAUAAAGAACAGAUUGAGAUUACAUUUUUUUAUAUAAAUAUUGUAAUUAGAAAUAAUAAAGAAUAUACGCUUCAUAAACGUUGUACUCUGAAACAUUAACUCUGUUCAUUAAAUAGUAGUUGUGUGUGUGUGUGUGUGUGUGUAACAGUUUCAGCUAACCAGUGUGGUGCUGUAUGCAGAGUCACAGUUCAUGACAGCUCAGAACAUUCCACACAGCCUUAGACCGCAGGCUUAGGAGCAAUGUCAGCAUGUUACUGAGUACUGACAUGAAUAGGGCCCUGGUCAAAACUAGUGCACUAUAUAGGGAAUAGGGCUCUGGUCUGUAGUAGUACCACUAUAUAGGGAAUAG
rnacentral:lncRNA from 1 species